rnacentral:tRNA from 1 species
GGCAGGGUAGUCCAGUGGCUUGGGCACUUGCUGGUAUUCAAGAGAUCUGGGUUCAUGUCCAAGUUCUACCA